UACGAAGGGGGGCUAGCGUUGUUCGGAAUCACUGGGCGUAAAGGGCGCGUAGGCGGCUUGAUAAGUCGGGGGUGAAAGCCUGUGGCUCAACCACAGAAUUGCCUUCGAUACUGUCGAGCUUGAGACCGGAAGAGGUAAGUGGAACUGCGAGUGUAGAGGUGAAAUUCGUAGAUAUUCGCAAGAACACCAGUGGCGAAGGCGGCUUACUGGUCCGGUUCUGACGCUGAGGCGCGAAAGCGUGGGGAGCGAACAGG
rnacentral:rRNA from 1 species